GCGCGAAUAGUUUAGAGGUAGAACUUCAGCUUCCCAAGCUGACGGCCGGGGUUCGAUUCCCCGUUCGCGCA